rnacentral:rRNA from 1 species
AUUGAACGCUGGCGGCAUGCCUUACACAUGCAAGUCGAACGGUAACGGGCCUUCGGGUGCCGACGAGUGGCGCACGGGUGAGUAAUACAUCGGAACGUGCCCGAUCGUGGGGGAUAACGAGGCGAAAGCUUUGCUAAUACCGCAUACGAUCUACGGAUGAAAGCGGGGGAGCGCAAGGCCUUGCGCGGACGGAGCGGCCGAUGGCAGAUUAGGUAGUUGGUGGGAUAAAAGCUUACCAAGCCGACGAUCUGUAGCUGGUCUGAGAGGAUGAUCAGCCACACUGGGACUGAGACACGGCCCAGACUCCUACGGGAGGCAGCAGUGGGGAAUUUUGGACAAUGGGCGCAAGCCUGAUCCAGCCAUGCCGCGUGCAGGAUGAAGGCCUUCGGGUUGUAAACUGCUUUUGUACGGAACGAAAAGCCUUCUUUUAAUACAGGAGGGUCAUGACGGUACCGUAAGAAUAAGCACCGGCUAACUACGUG